rnacentral:tRNA from 1 species
GAGGGUAUAGCUCAAAGCAGUAGAGCACAUGCUUAGCAUACACGAGGUCCUGGGUUCAAUCCCCAGUACCUCUC